UCCUAGGUUUUGAUGUUCUGUAACAGUAACAAUUCUCUUUGCAUAAUUUUUCUAUCUUUUUUCAGCUGAAACUAUAUGCUUUAACUCAUGUUCCUAGAUUUGUUAAACUAUUAUGUGAAAAUUGGGGAGAAAUCGUUUUAUAUUGAUUCAAACUUGUGACCGUUGGGAAAGUGUUGAACUCUGUGUUGUAUAUCUCACUGCUUUGGUCUUUCUUUGUUUCAAACUCCUAAAAAGUGUAUUGCCUUUUCUUUUUUGAAAAGGAGUGUGUAACGGUAACAGAUGGUAAGGAGACAGGAUGUGGAUUUCUAUCGCUGGUUUUCGAGGAAAGAGCUUCCGAGUUUGUGCAAGAAGUAUAGUUUGCCGGCUAAUAGAUCAACCUUGGAUAUGGCUGAAUCAUUGGUUUCUUACUUAGAGAAAAAUUGUUCCAACUCGGUAGGAUUUGGGAUUCAAGAUAGUUCAGGUGCACAUUCUAGAGUACCAGCGAGUAGAAAAAGAGAUUCUUUUGGUAACGAAUUGAAUAUAGCCAGAGGCGGUUGUUUUCAAGGUACAGUGGUUAGGGAACCAGACUUUAUCCUUGGGGAUAGUACACAAACUCAGGAACGAAAUGGUGGUUUGAUUGAUUCUGAAUGUGCUCCUUCAUAUAUGAGGAGACUGAAUGAAAAGGGUCCACUGGAUCCUCAGCUAGAAAACACAAUGAAAGAGGUAGACAGUAAUGAUAGACCUAGUUUUGAGUUUCAUGUUAGUUUGGAAGAGGGUAUUAGCCUUUCAGUUGAUCUUAAUUUCAAUCCAUCAGACUGGAUUAAUAGCUUGAGAAAUGAGGUCAAUGUAUAUGACAGAAAAUCUACACAUUCUUCUGAUCUUGGCAUUGAUAAUGCUACACAGUGUAAGAAACAGAAGAGUUUGGAGCAAGACAAGGAUGGGAAUGCAAGGAGAGAAUCAUCUAUUAAUCAAGCAAUGAAAGACAAUACUCAAGUACCUCCUGAUGAUCAUUCAAAUGGUGGACGCUCUCUAGCAACCAUACCCUGAUUCUUCAGGACCUGGCCAGAUUGCACCAUCUUGUGCUGAAUCGUAUAGCAAAAGCUGCUGUGUUGACAUGGACUGUGUUCGGGAGAAGUUGACAAGUGGUUAUGUUAUGGUUGCUGCAGAAGAGAAGCAGCCAGCUGGUGGUGAUCUCCUUCCGCAAAAUCCAUCCAUGGAGAGUUUUGAGAAGGUGGGAAACUCAAGUAGUGAUAUAUGUCCAAUGGAGCUGGUUCUGAGUUAUCAUCAUUAGAAGCAGAGGCUUAUCUCUCAAACCAGACGCGUUCUCCUCGCAAGACCAGUGGAUCCUCAAAUAUCUCUUCUUCAGAGCUCAUUAUUGACAGAGAGUCCACUAGCUAUUCUGAAUCAUUCAAGUUCCAGUACAGUGGAGGCAAGAACUGUCUGCCAGUGAAUACCGAAGAGCAGGAAAAGAGUGAAGUCUUAAGUGAGCAGGCAAGGUCCAAGUGACUUGUUUGAAUGGUGAAACAUCCACUGUGUUGUAUAAUAUUAGUUCAAGUGAUAGAGAAGGGCAAAUGUAAAGAUAGUCAAGGAGUGGCCUUUUUUCCUCGGACCAAGAGGUUUCUACCGCUGUUUUAUUUUUGAGGACACCGAAUAUAAGGAGAUUUCCUUUGAGAGCACUGGGUUGAAUAUCACUGAAGGGCUUUGCACUGACCUAGGGAGAAGUUAAUUUUAGUUCCAAGGUUGUUGUAGAUGUUCUCCUCUCUUUAUCGAGUGAAAGGUGGAUGUGAGGCGCUCCACCAAGAACCUAUUUUCUUAGUUCAAAAGACUACAACCGUGGCGCUCGUUGGUAAUCGAUUGGCUUCUCCUUCUUGCUCCUGACGCCGUUUUACUUGGGUUUUGAGGACAUCCCGCUGUGAAGGCAUCUCCCGCAUUAAGGCGGAGCUCUCUCUUGCCGAUUUGAGUCGCUUGUUUUCGAGGAGUCAUGACUCCUCCUGCGCUCCAUUUCCCUUGUUCCCUAGCUCCGACAGUUGGUUUAGUGUGCCCUCUGAGUCUUUGCCGCAUCUCAUGUGUCGCGUGGCCGGUUCGGGAGCCAAUUUGUACCGCCUACGCUUGACCAGUAACCCGAAUUUCCAUUGUCAGCAGCAUCGAUUUGGGUUAGUACUUUUAUCUACUGUCGAGAAAGCUUGGGUUUGUUUGGUUGACGUCCUCCUCCAGUAGUGUUCCGGGGUGGGAGCCAGACACCUCCGUUGAAGCUGAUUGGAGCCACUUCGAUGAUUGCUCGACUGAACUCUCCUUCAAGCUUUCUCUUGCUUCUUCAGGAUUGCUCCAGUUAUAGCAAGAAGCGCUUCGCACAGAGAGUCUCAUUCUGUUGUCUCUUGUUCUAUUGUGUCAUAUUAACUUCAAGCUUUCUAUUGAUAGAAGCUUGGACUUAAUAAUCUAGGUUCUUAAGGGUUUUUAAAAACUUUUUGCGGCUCCUUAGAAUCAAAUGGCUGUCUCAGUAGACCGUGGUUUCAGAUUCAUUUUGUAACCGAACCUUCAUUACUAGUAAUGACAUUUACAAUUUAGCAAAAAUAAACA